UACGUAGGGGGGCAAGCGUUGUCCGGAUUUAUUGGGCGUAAAGAGCGUGUAGGCGGCCAGGUAGGUCUGCUGUGAAAACUCGAGGCUUAACCUCGAGCUGUCGGCGGAAACCAUCUGGCUAGAGUCCGGAAGAGGAGAAUGGAAUUCCCGGUGUAGCGGUGAAAUGCGCAGAUAUCGUAAGGAAGACCAGUGGCGAAGGCGGGUCUCUGGACAGUUCCUGACGCUGAGGCACGAAGGCCAGGGGAGCAAACGGG
rnacentral:rRNA from 1 species